GAGUUUGAUCCUGGCUCAGAGCGAACGUUAGCGGCGCGCUUAACACAUGCAAGUCGCACGAGAAAGGGCUUCGGCCCCGGUAAAGUGGCGCACGGGUGCGUAACACGUAGGCAAUCUUCCCUUGAGCGGGGGAUAACGUUUCGAAAGAGACGCUAAUACCGCAUAAGACCACGACUGGUUCGCUAGUUGCGGUCAAAGCUGGCCUCUCCACGGAAGCUAGUACUCAAGGACGAGCCUGCGGCCCAUCAUGCUAGUUGGUAGGGUAACGGCCUACCAAGGCGAAGACGGGUAGCUGGUCUGAGAGGAUGAUCAGCCACACUGGAACUGAAACACGGUCCAGACUCCUACGGGAGGCAGCAGUGGGGAAUAUUGGACAAUGGGCGAAAGCCUGAUCCAGCGACGCCGCGUGAGUGAUGAAGGCCUUCGGUUGU
rnacentral:rRNA from 1 species